rnacentral:rRNA from 1 species
GGGGUGCUCGAGAGGCGAACGGGUGAGUAACACGUGAGUAACCUGCCCUUGACUUUGGGAUAACUUCAGGAAACUGGGGCUAAUACCGGAUAGGAGCUCCUGCUGCAUGGUGGGGGUUGGAAAGUUUCGGCGGUUGGGGAUGGACUCGCGGCUUAUCAGCUUGUUGGUGGGGUAGUGGCUUACCAAGGCUUUGACGGGUAGCCGGCCUGAGAGGGUGACCGGCCACAUUGGGACUGAGAUACGGCCCAG